rnacentral:rRNA from 3 species
GCGACCCCAGGUCAGGCGGGGCCACC